rnacentral:piRNA from 1 species
UCGUUUUGUGACAUAGAUCAGGCGAUCUC